UACGUAGGUGGCAAGCGUUAUCCGGAUUUAUUGGGCGUAAAGAGAACGCAGGCGGUCUUUUAAGUCUGAUGUGAAAGCCUUCGGCUUAACCGGAGUAGUGCAUUGGAAACUGGGAGACUUGAGUGCAGAAGAGGAGAGUGGAACUCCUAGUGUAGCGGUGAAAUGCGUAGAGAUUAGGAAGAACACCAGUGGCGAAGGCGAUUCUCUGGACUGUAACUGACGCUGAGGCUCGAAAGCGUGGGGAGCAAACAGG
rnacentral:rRNA from 1 species